GACGAACGCUGGCGGCGUGCCUAAUACAUGCAAGUCGAACGCAGUGGGGACGGGUGAGUAACACGUGGGUAACCUCCCCUCAGAGGGGAUAACACUUGGAAACAGGUGCUAAACCGAUACUGAUGGAUGGACCCGCGGGGCAUUAGCUAGUUGGUGAGGUAACGGCUCACCAAGGCCACGAUGCAUAGCCGACCUGAGAGGGUGAUCGGCCACACGGGGACUGAGACACGGCCCAGACUCCUACGGGAGGCAGCAGUAGGGAAUCUUCGGCAAUGGACGAAAGCCUGAUGGAGCAAUGCCGCGUGAGUGAAGAAGGUCUUCGGAUUGUAAAGUUCUUUCGGCAGAGAAGCGUUACCCAAAGAGAAAGCAACGGCUAACUCCGUGCCAGCAGCCGCGGUAAUAC
rnacentral:rRNA from 1 species